GGUCUGCAGCCAUUGGCUCAACGUCUCAGUUAGGGAGUUUUAAUUGGAUGCUGAGCUGACAUUGAAACAUUCCGGAACUAAUACCGCCGCUGUAAACAACUGCAGUGUUCUUUGUAGAAACGACAUGCCGACCUCCCCUGUGAAGACACGGAUUCCGCUUACAAGUUUUGGUCAUCUUAUUAGCGAAGUCAAGAGACAGCUCUUUGGGAUUGAUGCACCAACCCCAACAGAACUGACAGGAUGGAGGAAACAUUUUAACAGCUACACAUUACGAGGAUGCAGAAAUUUUGUUCUUGCCACAUAUGGUGUUCUUGCACUCACAGCUGCCAUCUACAUGAUGAGACACAGCAGGAAGGAGGAACAUGAAACAGCAUCUGCAUCCUCAUAAACUACAAAUGGAAAGUUAAGGGGGGUUAAGAAUACAAUAAAUUAUUUAUGAUCACUACAUGAGUGGACCAUGGUUAAUGAAGCUCGUGUUUCUACAUGUCACUGGCCAGAUGUUUCCUUUUUCUAUCAUGCACACAGAUUGUCAUUUAAAAAAAAAAUUUAAAGUCACAAUAAAUAGGGAGCAGCGACAGAACUGUUCUUCUAUAUUGUGAUGUACAUCCGAGUGUAACUUGGUUGAGGACUUGGUUCUAUGAAUCAGGUGUUGACUGAAUGUUGAAAUGUAAAUGUUGGUUGCACUCAUAAGUGAAUGCAGAUGAACAUGAGCUUGAGGGACAAGAUUUAGGCAUAUGAAGUCCUGCUUACAUCACCAAGAGAAUAGUCGGUUGCAUGUGAACAAUGCAUCCAUGCCUGGAUGUAUGGUUCACAAUAAAACCUAUAACAUCCAUUUAAAAUAUUGAUAAAGUGAAUUUUAAUUUCAUGCAGACUAUAAUGUUUUUUAAGCGCAUUGUUGUUGUUGUUUUUAGUCUUUUUGAUGAUUUGCCAGUAGAGUGCAGUGUAAGCUUAUUGUCAAGUACGUUUCUUGGAAGCCGUUUGCGAUAUGUGUUCUAAAGGCAAAUUGUGUGGUUAUUUUAACAGCUGUUGGUUUUAGGUUAGUGAAACUAGCAGGUCAGAUGGGGAUGUUUUCCUGUAAAAUGAAAUGUUUAGAAAUUAUUUCAGAAAUAACAGUGCUGUUGUAAUAUGUUUUUUUUUCCUGCUUUUUGUUUCGGGAUGAUCAUGUCAGUUAAUCGUGAUCAGGUGUCAUUCUGAAAGUGAAUCUUCGUUUAAGUAUAAUUGUUGUGAAAUCUACAAUAUUCCAUUAUUAUGCUAAUCAAUCAACAAACGACUGAAGUACUACCCAUUUUCUUUAAUGCAAUGUAUUUUUCCCCCCU
rnacentral:lncRNA from 1 species